CCUGUUCCCAUGCCGAACACAGAAGUUAAGCUUCUUAGCGCCGAUUGUAGUGAAGGGUUUCCCUUUGUGAGAGUAGGACGUCGCCACGC
rnacentral:rRNA from 1 species